AAGGUUUUUCGGCUCUCAUCUCUAUAUGGAUAUGCUUUUCUCAGGUUAGUAGUUUAGGAGUUCCUGCCAACACUGGUUUUUGGAAGUUAUACUCCCUUCACCAGUUGGGCUUAACAAGGACAUAAUUAAUUCUCUGUUGGUAAUUAGAAGGAAAAAAAUCUGGUUGGAGAAAACUUCUCUUUUGCUUAAUUGUUUGCUUCAUAAUUUUAGUAAUCUUUUUUUCUUUUUUUUUCAGGUUAGUAGUAUGGGAGUACCUGUCAAGACUGCCUUUUGGAAGUUAUGCUAGCCUCAUCAGUUGGGCUUUCUAUACAAAACUAGACUCAAUAUAAUUUAUUUUGGUGCUUGCGAUGAGUAUUAGACAGAGGGGUGAUGACCACAUAGUUCACCCAGUGUAUCUGUUCAUGUAUGUCAUUAAUUAUCUAAUUAGACAAAAAAACUCUCUCUGUAUGGUGUUUGUGAUGAUGCUGUCAAUUCACUAAACACUAAAAUACCAGGUUGUGAUUUUCAAAUCUAGCAAAUUAAUUUUCUCUAUUGCUUCUUUUCCAGGCAGAAGUUUUAGUCUAUUCUGUUCCAUGAGUCUUACUGUCAAAAAAAAUAUAUGGUAGCAUCAGAAGUUGUCCCCAUCAGAUAGAACACUGCCUAAUAGAUUCAUUCUAUUACUGUAUAGCCAUGGUGACAAAAAUAUUCAGAUAACAAGAAACAAUUUUGUCAAAUAUUGUCAGCGGAGAUACUGUUGCGGUCUAUAAGAAAAAAAUGUUAAUUAUUUAAUUAAACAGAAAACUAUGUUAUUUAUACCAACAAAUGCUAAACAAUCAGACUACCUGACACAAAAGUAUAUAUAUACAUUAGUUAAAUUUCAUUCCAAAAAUAGAUGAUGUAGUGGUAGAUGUUAAUCGUACAAGAACAUGAGGAUGACAAACAUAAAUUAAUCACAUAUAUUAUCAUCAUAGGUCGAUCUAACUGGUGGUAGUUAUUCUUUGCACUGAAAACAAAGUGGAAUCAAACGAUUCAAGCAACCAAAAAGAAGGAAACAAAGGAUGCUUAUGGAUCUGAAUGAGUUAGGGCGCUCCACUACUUGCAAGUAGAUCCAGUGACUCAGUGGCAGAGCUACUCUCGGCGACGCCAGGAAGCCACCCUGGUUCUACCCAGAAGUCAUCACUGAAAUUACAACAAGAAAUAUGAAGUAAUUAGUAUUUUUUUCCAUGGACAUAUGACCGCCGGCCAGUUGCCUUUGUGCUCAUGCCGGUGCUGUACCAAUGAAUUGACUCCAUCACUGUAGCGACCUGGAAGAACAUCAACUGUUUGUGGAGUUGGGAAUUUCUUCUCCGAGGAGAGAAAUGUUUAGUACGUCUCCAAAUCACUCCACUGUCCCGCCGGACAAAGAUGAGUUUAAUAUGGCCCGUCGACACGGAGAAGGCCUGCUAUCACAUACCGCUUAUUGGGCUGUAACAUUAGUCUCAUUCCAACGUCACAUAUCCAACAAAGAAGCUUAUACCAAAGAGAAAGCUACAAAUUGGAUGAUUGAUCCCUAUGAAAUUGAUGUUACACAUAUUUUAUUUCAAAAAGGGGAUUACCCGGGCCUCUGCAUCAAAUGAUGCACACAUUCAUAUUAUUAAACAUAAAUCAAGUUCCAAACACGGAGUUCCAGACUUAUUUCAUCAAGUAGUUUUCUUGUAUUUGAACUCAAUUCCUUCAAUUUCUCUAAGCCGUGAGCUUAUAUCAGCGGUGAGCUCAUCUACAUUAUGGGUUGUGAACUCAUUUAGUUUUAUCUAUGAACUCAUUAGGUGAACUCAUCACGGUUUUUUGGCAGAUGUGAACUUAUUUCAUAUUCAUCUAUGAAUCAUUGUUGAAGUGUCUGUAUAUCUCUCCCAUGCCAAUGUACAGAAAUUUGAGGUCUACAUACUUUUGCCAGUUCUACCUACAAUUCCAUUACUGUCUUUGAAUAAGCUACAGCAAGUGCAACAAAACAGAUUGCAACAAGUAGCUUAUGGACUGAAAUUUGUGAUAUUAUUCAUUUGUCGUAUUGUCGCUUAGUUCAUCCUGGUUGUGAAGCUAAACGUGACAUGCUAUUCUUGACGUAAUUUCCAAAUUGCAAUCCAUAAUCAAGCAAAAGACUACAAUAAAUGUGACUUACAUGUUGCUUGCAUUCAACACCUUCAGGACCUGCACACGCAUCCAUCUCCUCCUCCGGCCGUUGCUGCCAUUAAGCCACUUGCUCAGGACCUGCACAAGGCAUCCACCUUCUCUUCAGCACCAGUCUCGCCACUAGAAUGCUUCUCCAGCAGGGGAGGGCGAUCUGCGCCGAUGCGCGCAGGGGAGGGCAAGCACCCGCGGAGAGCUGCGCUGUCGCGCGCGGGCGUGGGGGAGAACCCGCGGCAAGCUGCGGUGGCUUGUGUAGGUAUCCGUGAGGUGAGGACGAGCUGCGCCGGCGCCUACAGACAUGGAUGAGCACCGGCGAUGAACCACAGUUGCUCGCGCAGGCAUCAGCAAGGCAUGGGCCAUCGGCGGGGGAGCUACGGUUGCUCGCACACGCGUGGGCAAGCUAUGGCGGAGAGAUGCGGUGGCUUCCGCAAGCAGCAGUGGGGUACGGCGACGAGCUAGCCCGAGAGCAAUCCUUAUCCAACCAGUCCACACACAUUAGAUAAGGUUAGAUAGCAUCAGGGGCACUUUGGUCCUUUCAAGUGCUAGAAAAUGGAAAAGAAAAAAAAGAAAUGGCAUGGUAAUGAAAGUGCACUGAACUGGUGGCAUUUUUAUGAAGUAAGUACUAUUAAAAACAGAAAAUAACCUAUUUUCUUCUAAAAAACAAUAUAACUCUUACUUUUUUUGUCGGGUUGGCUCACGCCCAAACUGGGCCACAAGGCAGUCAACUCCUUCAGACUAACUAAUAUCAAAUUAGUUGAUUCGGCAUUUUUUUGCACUGCCUAGCCUCGAUUUGUUUUUCAUAUGAAGUGACUCACAUGCUAAUUAAUUCUUCCUCCCACCUCGCUUAUGUUGGUUUUGAUUAAUUAAAACUUAUUCUGCCAGUCAACAAUGUAUAGAUAUGUUGACUUUUAUCUUUAUGUACUAUUUAUCUUUCGCUCCUCUACUGCACCGAAUUCAUUGUAGUGGUCAAGCAAAAAGAAAACUUCAGUUUAAACACUUUGUUUGAAAAGAAAUAAAGAUACAUGCGUCUAAGUUUACAACCUUAUUAAACAAACAAAGUAGCUCUCAUGUCCACUUUAUAUUCUGUCAGAGAAAUCAAGGCAAACAAGGAUUCUUAAAAUAAAAAAUGUUAUCUCUAAUUUCAAGAUAGUUUGCAAUCCGUCGAGAUCUAGGACAUUCAUCAAUUCAAAACGGACUAAGUUUGAAUGAAAUGAAAGCAGCUUCAACAUUGUGUACAUAGGGAACAAACCACCAAGAACCAAAGCAUAAGAACUAGCCUCAUCUCUUUACCACUACAUCACUGAGACAAACCUAGCUGGACGAUCAACAUCUUAUCUAAAAAAACAAGAGCUUUAUAAUUCUGUGUCCAGUAGCCACUAUCACUAUCUACUGUAGAUCACUUAUGCACGUACGAACUAGAUGUAUUCUUUUCUUGUAUGAACUACUUUGCAAUGAAUUAAGUCUUGGGACGAGUUACCAAAUAUUACAAAAAACAAAUAGUUUGUAAAUUCAUGUGGCACGGCGUGCCGCCGCGCACUACCUGCUAGUAUAUAUGAGAGAAGAUAGCAUCUCGAUCAACACCGUACGAGUGCCCAUCAUCUAAACGUAGAGAUCGACAACAAGAUCGAUGGCCGCUGAGCGCAAGACUAGUGUUGUCGGGUCGUUCCUCGCCGUUACCCUCGUGGUGCUGGUGGUGGUGGCCACAUCAUCCAUGCCGGUGGUUAGGGGGGAUGAGAAGUCUGCUUGCCUCGGCGAUUACUCCAAGCUCUGCGGCAAGGACCCCGCGUGCACCACCAUGGUGGAGACGGCCUGCUGCGAUGAUGCCGAUAGCGUCAAGUUCAUCAAGGGCAUGUUCGACGAGCUCGCCACGGUCGGUGGAGACAACAAUGACUUUGCUUCUACGGCAUGGCCGUGGGGGCACGCGGCCCUCCGCGCGGCCGUGGACGAGCACGGGGCCUGCCCCGGCAACAAGACGGUCGGACAAUUUGCUGGUGAGCACUGCAUCAAGGACCUCGACGCGGCAUAAAAGGAUCCGAGCUGCACCGACGAUGCUCACAUCGAAUGCUACCGUACAGCCUCGAGAUUUUGCUACAGCAAGGCCACCCCCACCGACAAGAAAGCCAUACAGCAAAACUUGGAGUGCUUCAAGAGCUGUUGCGCAAAGAAGAACAAUAGUGAAGAGUGCCGUAAAGUAUGCAUCCUCAAGAUUCCGGCCAAUUGAAAAUGCAUGCAUGCAUUUGUACUUCAGGGUGCUGCUUUCAUUUCAGAGUGCUUCAUUCAUGUUUUCACAUGCAUGUAUUAAUCUCAUUUUGUUGUUGCUUUUUCUAACAUUCUUCUUUUUUCGCAAAAAGAACAUUCAUUAUGUUGUUGCUGUUAUUGGAAAACCAAUAAAUAAAGAGUGGUAAAUAAUUUUUGGAUGAUCUCUAACUUAACGUUAUAUUUUGCUAGCUAGAUGUGCUUGCAUGUUGGCAGAGUUUCUUAGUGCGCAUGCAAGUGGCACAAAAUCAGGGCACGCUUGUUUUCUCUUGCUGUGGGUAUUUAGGCCCAGUUCUUUUGCCAGAAUCUGGAAAUUCUCCCAGAAUUCGACCCCUACUCAGCUUCUCCCAGAAUCUUUGAGCCCCAUUUAUUUUACAAUCCUAUCUAAUUAGACCCUAACUAGAUAGGAUUGUAAAACAAACGAGGCCCAAAGAUUCUGGGAGAAGCUGAGUAGGGGUCGGAUUCUGAAAAAAUCCCAAGAUUAUGGUAAAAGAACUGGGCCUUAGGGAGGUUACAAGCAUGUUUUUUUCCUAGGGUCAGAAGAAGAGAAUAUAAAGGAGAAAAGCAAAAUCAUAUGUCCUCUCUUAUGAACCUGUGAAAUGAAUCGAAGGAGCUGAGAGAGUCAGCUCCAAUAUUAAUUGCCAAGGUUCAAAGACGCCACGAUGGUCAAUAGGUUUUUUUCUGGAAAAAUCACUACCAGGAAAUGAUUAUAUGACGAGUGCAUAGCUUCAAGCACUCGGUGAAGGACCGCCUAAAAUGACUGCAUAUAAAAAAAAAUAGACCCAUGUUUGCAGAAAAACUAGCGAAAAUUACAAUGCUAAUUUCAUAUUGUUGGGGAACGCAGUAAUUUCAAAAAUCUUCCUACGAUCAUGCAAGAUCUAUAUCUAGGUGAUGCAUAGCAACGAGAGGGGAGAGUGUUGUCUACGUACCAUCGUAGACCCAAAGCGAAAGCGUUAUGACAACGCGGUUGAUGUAUUCGUACGUCUUCACGAUCCGACCGAUCCUAGCACCGAAGGUACGGCACCUCCGCGAUCUGCACAAGUUUAGCUCGGUGACGUCUCACGAACUCUAGAUCCAGGUGAGGUCGAGGGAGAGUUUCGUCAGCACGACGGUGUCGUGACGGUGAUGAUGAAGUUACCGGCGCAGGGCUUCGCCUAAGCACUACAACGAUAUGACCAAGGUGGAAAUCUGUGGAGGGGGCACCGCACACGGCUAAACAAUCAACUUGUGUGUUCUAGGGUGCCCCCUGCCCCCGUAUAUAAAGGAGCAAGGGGGAGGUCAGCCGGCCCUCAUGGGGCGCGCCCCUAGUAGGAUUCCUACUGGGAAUCGUAUUCCUAGUAGGUUUCCAACAAGGGAAAAGAGGGGGAAGGAGGAAGGAAGAGGGGGAACAGAAGGAAAGGGGGGAGGGGGCGCCGCCCCCUUCCCUUGUCCUAUUCAGACUCAAGGGGGAUGGGAGGGCAGACCCUCCUAGCCCUUCCUCUUCUCGCACUAAGGCCCAUCUAGGCCCGUUAGUUCCCCCGGGGGAUUCCGGUAACCCUCCGGCACUCCGGUUUUAUCCGAAACUUCUCCGGAACACUUCCGGUGUCCGAAUAUAGUCGUCCAAUAUAUCUAUCUUUACGUCUAGACCAUUUCGAGACUCCUCGUCAUGUCCGUGAUCACAUCCGGGACUCCGAACAAUCUUCGAUACAUCAUAUCACAUAAACGCAUAAUACCAAUCGUCAUCGAACGUUAAGUGUGCGGACCCUACGAGUUCAAGAACUAUGCAUACAUGACCGAGACACGUCUCAGGUCAAUGACCAAUAGCGGAACCUGGAUGCUCAUAUUGGUUCCUACAUAUUCUACGAAGAUCUUUAUCGGUCAAACCGCAUAACACCAUACGUUGUUCCCUUCGUCAUCGGUAUGUUACUUGCCCGAGAUUCGAUCGUCGGUAUCUCAAUACCUAGUUCAAUCUCGUUACCGGCAAGUUUCUUUACUCCGUCUGUAAUACUUCAUCCCGCAACUAACUCAUUAGUCACAAUGCUUGCAAGGCUUAUAGUGACGAGUAUUACCGAGAGGGCCUAGAGAUACCUCUCCGAAACACGGAGUGACAAAUGCUAAUAUGGAUCUAUGCCAACCCAACAAACACCUUCGGAGACACCUGUAGAGCACUAUUAUAAUCACCCAUUUACGUUGUGACAUUUGGUAGCACACAAAGUGUUCCUCCGGUAUUCGGGAGUUGCAUAAUCUCAUAGUCUGAGGAACUUGUAUAAGUCAUGAAGAAAGCAGUAGCAAUGAAACUAACACGAUCAUAAUGCUAAGCUAACGGAUGGGUCAUGUCCAUCACAUCAUUCUCCUAAUGAUGUGAUCUCGUUCAUCAAAUGACAACACAUGUCUAUGGUUAGGAAACAUAACCAUCUUUGAUUAACGAGCUAGUCUAGUAGAGGCAUACUAGCGACACUAUGUUUUGUCUAUGUAUUCACACAUGUACUAAGUUUCCGGUUAAUACAAUUCUAGCAUGAAUAAUAAACAUUUAUCAUGAAUUAAGGAAAUAAAUAAUAACUUUAUUAUUGCCUCUAGGGCAUAUUUCCUUCAGAUAUAAUUUUGAUUUCUAUGAUGUAUUGAAGGAUAACUAAUUUGGUAUCGUGUUUGUUGAUAGUUUUUAGAUCAACUUGAACAAACUUUGUACUGUUUGACUCUAGACAAACAUUGUGUAGGAUCGAGAGUAUAUCGACUAGAGGGGGGUUGAAUGAGAGAUUUAAAAUUUCUUUUCAAAACUUCAAAUCUCUGGAGACAUAACAGCAGAAGUAAUACUACAAUAGGAACACUGAACAAAAGUAAGUACAGGCACACAAAGACAAACAGGCUAAACCAAUACGACUAAGAAAAUGUUUCGAUCAAAGCGAUGAUAAUCUUCCUAGUGUAGUGGCAGAGAACCUUAGCAACAACAAUGAUAAAACAGAAACAAAACAACUCAAAUGACAUGGAGGACGGACUGUUAUGAAAGUGCCCUUCUGCUCGUACCCACUCGUCGCUUGCCCCUGCAGGGCGACAGGGGGAGCAACCCUAGCAACCCAGCCGCUGCGAUCCCAUCUCUCCUUCCCCUCUGCCGCUGUCGGGGGACAGCGCCGAGUAGAGCCUGUGCGUUCGAUGGCAGCGGCAGAGGGCUGCUCCUCCUUCCCGCGUUGUAAGGCGGUGAGAGCGCCAGAUCCGCAGAGGUGCGGUCUCUUCCUCGAUCCUUGGGGCAUGGUGGCUCCUGCUAGGGGUGUUUGUACUGGUGCAGGAUGAUAAGGCUAGAGGAUGGAGGUGGGGCUGGGCUUGGCCGGUGGCAGAGGCGGCGUCCGGCCCAGAUCCGGUCUUGGCGAAGGCGGUGGCGACUCCGGCCCGGAUCCGAAUGUGGCAGUGUGGUGGCAUCCCCUUUGCCAGGAAGACGGGCCAGAUUGUGGGCCCUUGUGGCGGCAUCGAUGGCGGCAGAUCUUGGGAUCCCGCAUCCGGGAACAUCGCAGGAUGCGCAUGGCGGCCGGAGGUUUCUCUGGCAUGGACGACGCUUGAUGCGGGAUCGCCACAACGCUUGCUGUUGUAUAGGCAACAACAAGGGGGCUAUAGAUGAUAUGCAUAUCGAGGAGGAAUAUCUUCAAGUUCUCAGUUGUUUGAACAAACCAGGUAUUAUAUUCUCAGUUUUGGCGUGGACAAGUGUCAGGACCCGAUUUUCGGGAUAUUAAUUUCCCAGAAAAUGGCCCUUGUGCUCACCAGCCCCAGGAUUACUAUUAGCUGAUGAGGCACCAACUUGAUACAGAAACUCCAAGCAAAAUACAAGAUAUGUAGUACAAGACCAUUCUAGCCUAUGAGUACAAUAAAUGGUUACUAGUGGUUGAUGGCGGAAGCGGUUUUGCGGAUCAUCAGCGUCUAUGGGACUCCAUUUCCCACAGGAACAGCUGACCUAGAUAACUCCUAUCUUCGCGAGACUGUUCUCAUCACUGCCUAGGUUCCGGGGCUGUCAUCGCAGUGCUCCUCUCCAUGCAAGGAAAUCUGGGCAAGACAAUAGCCAGGGACAAGCCAGUGAGUACUUUUGAAUGUACUCGCAAACAUUAAGAACACAGGUAUAAUAUAACAAUUGAAAAUCAUGCUCUGAAUUAUUUCAAAACCACACAUCAGUCAUGAAAUGAAAAUCCAUGAUGCACAUAGGUAGGUUAUUUAUGUCAAAUAUGAAUAUGCAAUCAGAGGGGAAAAAAUAAUGCACCGAUCGGGUGUCUGAAGCGACACCUCGAAAGGAUAAUGAUAUAAAGCAUGCCUCAGUCGGGCGUCUGAGCGACACCACAUAAAGGGCUUAUAAAGGAAUUUAAAUAACAAGCACGCCACAGUUGGGCGUCUCAGUGACACCACAUAAAGGGCUUAUAAAGUAAUUUAAAUAACAAACAUGCCACAGUCGGGCGUCUCUGCGACACCACAUAAAGGGCUUAUAAAGUAAUUUGAAUAACAAGCAUGCCACAGUCGAGCGUCUCUGCGACAUCACAUAAAGGGCUUAUAAAGGAAUUUAAAUAAAAAGCACGCCACAGUAGGGCGUCUCAGCGACACCACAUAAAGGGCUUAUAGGGGAAUAAUCACAGUGAAUAUCCAGGAGGUAGAACCAUCCCAGUGAUACUCAGUAAUUCAAAUAAUGUAAAUGGUUAGCCCAUAAUAAUAGUAAUCAUAAUCAUCAUGUGUCGCAAGUCAUGAUCCAUGUUUUGGUUUAGCAAUCUUUCGUCCGAAGACCGACACUAAGACCGACACUUGACCCAUCCCAGACUGUAGUCCUUAACUAUGGACACGGCUAUUCGAAUAGAUAUAACCUCUGCAGAGGGUGUACUCUUUACCCACGAGCAACGGAUUCCUUUAGUCCAUCGGGACUAAUUCCGUCUACGGUCUUUUAAUUAAAAACACACCUGACCACACACACCAGCCUAUCUUACCGGUGUCUGGAAUCACCCACGACACCCGUUAAGCGAAACUCUAAGUGGGGAGGCUGCAACCUCGAUUAGCAUGGGAUCACAAAAUUUAUAUCGCGCACAAACUAGGGGAGCUACCCCCUCGGCUUCAACCGAAAACACCCAUUCCCCCGGACCAGGUGGCAUGCCUACCGGAUGCAGCCGGUAUCUUCCAUCAUGGCCUCUCUGUACGAUGUGUGCUAGGAAAGGGGUUGACAACUUACUGAACCGUACCCUACGUAUGGCAGGGACAAGUGGUAGUACGAAACAAGCAUGGGGGUUACUGGAACAAGACUCGAUCUAUGGUCGACUCAGGAGGUUUAAGUAUUCCCUGCAUGAUUAGCAUAACAAAUAUAUUUCAACCGACAGACAGAAUCACCACCCAUCAUACCUCAUCAUGCCCUACCGGAUACAACCGUCUCGACGAGAAACUAGGGAUAAGCUCGUGUCUACCCAAGACAGAGACUUUCCUGGCUUCCUUCCGGUAGACAUGAAAGGCAUACGAGCGUGAUCACUAUCACGAGCAUAUCCAUUUCCAACAGCAAGGAAAUCUUCAUUUUGCACUCAUGCGUAUGAUCAUAUCAUCUCAUAAAUAAUGAAUGCUCCAUGUCGAGGUGGUGUUGUAACCGUAUCAAACAACACACAAAAAUAUUAUGCCAGGGUUCAGAAUGCUUGCCUUGAAGUUGUGGACAGGCAGGGUGCAUUCCAAAACUUUUGAAAGUUUCUUGCUUCUUCAAAAAUCCUAUUUUGAGGAAAUUCAAAUUAACACAUAUUUUUUUUAAACAGUACAAAAAGUUUUUUGGCAAAUUUUCUAAUAAAUGUGAAAAUAAACUAGACAGAAUUUGAGAAACAACAGAAAAAGAAUCAAGUCAAUUGGACUUAUAUUUUAAAAGUUAUAGUGAGUCAAAGUUCAGUCAAAAUCUGUUUUUAAUUAAAACAGAAAAAGAAAACGUUUCGAAUAGGAAUACGUCUUCGAGACGGAGGAAACAUACUUCUGGGUUUACGCCUCAUCUUAAACCAGCGCGGACCGGCUUGGGGUCACUGACAGUGGGUCCCUUGGGCCCACUGGUCAGGUUUGACCAAUCGCCCGCGCCUCCUCUCUCCUCUAGCCGAACAGAGGCGGGGCGCCGACGAUCACCACCGAUGAACGGCGGCUCCCUACAGGGAUCCAAGGGCAGGGAUGGAUCCGCCAGUCUGGGGCGGUCCUCCUGGUGGUCGACAAACUGGCGGGGAUGAAGGGAGUCGCCGGUGGUGAGCUCUGCGACGGAGGUGAGUUCGGGAGAAAUUGGGGUUUCGGGCUACGGUGACUCCCGGACGAGGCUGAGGGUUUGGGUGGCUCCGCAUGAUCAAGGGGAGUCGGACGAUGGCGUUGGAAGGGCAGGGGAGGCUCUAUUUGCGACGCACGGCGCCGGAGUGUGGCGGCGGCCGAACUGGCCGGAGACGAGGAAGACGGCCUUCCCUCGUCGAUUGCUGGCUGUGGGGGCACUAAGGGGAUGGUACGAGGUUGCCUAAGUGUCCGGAUGGGCUCGGGGUCCCUAUUUAUAGCGCGACUAGGUCGGUUCCACAGCGGCCGGAGAUAAGAUCGGCGAACCGCCUCGCUGUAGCUUGCAGUGCGAUGUGUCGGCGAUGGGGAUGUUGGCAUAGGCUAGCUGACGAGCAGGCACUGCCCCAGGGGCGAGCUGGCGAGCGGUUGUGGCUCGGGCGGUGCCGUCCACGGCAGGGACGUGCUGUGGACUCUGGCGUGCCGCCAAGGGGGCUCUGAAGGCGGCGACGUAGGGUGCCAGGGUGGCCUGGAGGGUUCUGUUGAGUGGACGGGAACGAGGAGUGGCCCUGCGGGCGAGCGAAGGCCAGGGGCAAGACGCGGCGGCUCGGUGCGCGCGCGUGCAAAACAUGCGCUCUGGGCGCGCCCAGAGCACGCACACCAGGUGCUCGAUGCUAUGCCAACGCGUCCUAUGCCUCUCCGAUGCCUCUGCAACUAAACAAAACUAGGCUAAUGAUCAUGAGGGAGCUAAUAGACAUGUUGGUAAGGUCACUAGAGCAACUUCCUAAUGCAAGUCCAAAAGCAUGCCAAAACUGGCCAUGCUCCUAACAUGCUCGAUGAAAUGCCACGGGCAUCUAGGCAUCUCUUGGGGUGGCCAAAAUCUCCAGAUCAUAGUCUCUCUAGAUGCUAAAGAGGGUGGCAGAGUUAGUUGGGCAAAACCAGAAACUUGUUAGUGCAAUUUUUUGAGAAAACCAAAUCUGGACAGAAACUAAGGGCAUCAUUGCAUGGACCAAAUAUACUCCAAUGGGUCCACUUUCCUGGACUUAAAGGUUUUGUAGGGUGAUCUAUAAGCAGGAAAAAUAAUCAUGGGAAAAAGGGCAAGUUAAAAUAUAGUUGCACUACAAUUCACCAAGAUGGACCAGAAUGAAGAUGAGGAUGAUCUGCUCAAAUUUUUCAAAGAACAUCAAUGGGUUUUUGCAUAAAGUUGAAUUAUAUACUACUACUAACUUCCCAUAAUUUUGGUGGAAGCUUUAAAGAAAUUUUUAAAUAGGUUGUAGUGCAAUUUGGCAAACUGGACCAGAAUUGAAAACUUGGGGUAGAGCUCAAAAUCUCCAAUGACUAAAAUAUAUUAUUGCAUAAAAGUGACGUGGAAGCAUCACAUGUCAUCCCCAAAUGUUGGUGAGAAUUUUAAAAGGGUAUUUGAAAGGGUUGCAGUGCAAACUGACUCCAAAACUCAUAAAAUCCAUUUUAAAAGAAAUAAAGCUCAGGAAAAAUUAAUUAUAUAAAUAAUUCCUCUGAUAAAAAAAUGUUUUUCUUGAGAGGGUAUACAAGUCCAACAAUGCAUUUGGAAAGUUUUCAGUUGGGGUAAAAACUCCAUAAUAUCAAAGAAAAGGGUGGUUCUGAAAUCAAAGAAAAUCCAGAAAAUAAAAAUUUAAUUUCCUGGCAAUAUUUUAAUAAACAAAUCAUGUUUAAAUUUUUGGGGUGUUACAACACUACCCCCCUUAAGAAAAAACUCAUCCUCAAGAUUUAUUAAGGGUUGCUUAAAACAAAUUACACCUGUUAUCACAAAAAUAACCGCUCUACUCAUGCAAUAAAAUAUGGCUAAAGUGAGUGGGCAAUAAGUGGUGUAAAACUACAGUGUGGAAGACUGGCGUUGCGUAGAAAAAUCCAUGUUUGGGGGAAAACGAGGAAUUUCAACUUUUGGUCACAGAAAUCUAGAAUUAAAUUCUAAUUUCUAAAAUACGCUGGUCGUACCCGAGAGCACAAUGCUCCCUCUGGCUAACAGGUGGACCCCGGGCCCACUGACAGUCUCUUCUUCUUCCUCUGGCUCUCUCUUCUUCUUCUCUCUCUCUCGCGUGCUUUCCCGCGCUUUCUCCACCGGCGACGUCUAGUGCGUAGGGCAUCUAGGCCGUACCGCGGUAGUGCACGGCGUGCUAGCUGCCGGUGCAGCGUGCACUCACCUCGCGGGCCAGUGCGCUGUCGACACUGCUCGCGGAUUCGCCUCCGAACACCGACGAUCGAGCGACGAGCGGCGCUGGUGGACUUCGCCCACCGUACACCGAUCUCGAGCUAUAAAAUGACCGGGGUGCUCCUUCUUCUUCCUCACACCUGGCCUCGUUUCUCCUUCUCCUUCCUUCUCCUCUAUUCCCGUUUUGCAGAAGCUCGAGACGAGGCUCUAAUGGCGGAGGCGGUGCCGGACUGGUACAUGAUCCUGGUGUGUGGAGGGCUGGCGGCAUUGCUGGGGUUCUCCGUGCUCCUGUGCGCGAUGAUCCUCGAAGAUCAUCGUGAUCCUGCCGCUUCAGUGUUGGCUCUCCGCGGUGGCGGCGAUCACGAGGAUUAGGUGCGGUGCCGGGUGUUAACUGUUGUCAAUGCUGGGGAUAACCUGUAUCCGAAUAUUUACUCACAAAUCUCUCCUUCAGAAACUGUGGUGUGUUAGGGAGGCGAUCAGUUAGAUACAACAUGGGUACAUGGUUUUGCAAUUAGUGCACGUGGUCGAGUGGUUGUGGUUGUGAGACUGCUGUCGCGGUGUUGCGUGAAUAAAAAUCUAUGUCGUGAAGAGAUGUACGCUGCAGCAACUCAGGGAAAGGAAAUCUCACUUCAGAAUUUUUUGAGAGUGAAAAUUAGUUAAUCAAAAUUUAACAGCAGCAAAAACCACUCGCAUAAAUUGAAACCAAUUAUUUAAUUCGUCGCACAAAUUCAGGAUACCACGCAUAAGUUGCAACACAAAAUUAAAUGCCGGGGAACAAUAACAUAGCAGUGACGUCUACAGUGAAAAUGGAAAAUAGAUAGGGUCCCGAGAAAACAUCUCUGGUACUGGGCACACUCUUCUUCUAUCGGGGGAAGCAGAUUGACUAGUCGGUGAAUGUGUCUCUCCUGGUCGGGCCUUAGUGGUCUGCCGAUGGCGAUGUGAGGAUUUAAAUCAGCGAGGCUCUGGAGAUAACCCAUUAUUCGCUGGGUUAAACGCUCUUGAGUGAUGACAUACUAGGCAAGGUUGAACAGUACUGGGUCUCUCUCAAUUCGUCCACCAGGAAAAGUGGUUACUUCUCCGAGUGCUGCACGACUCGGGAAAUAAUAAUACCCUCGUUCGCUGGCAUAGGGUACCGCGAAUCGAAGGCGGGCAAGUGCUUCAUAUGCCACUACUUCUAUGGCCAUCUGCGGAGUCGGCAUAGAUUUCCCCACGAAGGAGACUUCCGUUGGGUCUUGGUUUGGGUUUGUGGGAGGGAUGUGCACCACUGCCCGAUAUUUCGAGGUGGAUGGGGUGAUCCUCGAUUUGAGCAACUCGUACUGGGGUGGAUGGAUAGAACUCAUGGUACUGCAGGUAAAGUCCCACAAUAUUUUAACAAAACUACCUGGGGUUGCAUCUGGACUUCUCAGAUAAAUGCUAGGGCUCGGCAUGGCCAAGGAAUGGUUGUGAGAGUUGGGCACAAGGUGAGGGCUAAUUGGUAAGGUCACGAGGUGGCCUUUUAUAUAGCAUCUGGGCUGGGUUAUUUAUCACGGUGAGGGGCGACUAGUUUGUUGGUUGUGCUCUAUGGGGUCGGGGUCAAAGCCACAGAUACACAUAUCUCACAAAAGUGAUGUAUUACUGUGGGUGUCGUCGGGGGUGGUUGUUGGUAGCUACGCCCGGAAUUAAAAAUGCAGCCGUACACCACACACUUAUGCAUGGCUACAGUUUAAAAUAGGGACACACAAGCAGACAACAUUCAACUAUGGCGAUACAAGAUUACGUAAUUACAGGGCGUGGACAUACUAAGAUUUGGUACUACUCGAGCGACUUAGUCUACCUCGUUAAUAUCUAAGCGGGCUUGCCUUGUGGACGUCGAGGCUUCACCAUGGGAUUCACCGUCGGGGUUAGAUGGAGGUGGUUGAGGAACUGCAGGGUCGGGGUAGCGAUGAUGACCAUCGCGGGGAUUGUUGGCCACGAUCCCGCUGGAGCGUGUUCCCAAAAGGCGACGAAGCACUUCUAGGGACACCAAAGCACCUUGGUCGAUGGCUAGGGCUGACCUCAAGGUCUCGAUUGGUUGUCCGAACAACACGAUUGGGCUGUCGACGUCGGGCUCAUCUUCUCUUCUUGCCGGGGCUCGGUGGAUCAGUUCUCCAUGAGCUGCGAUCAGAUCCAGAGUGAUUUGAUCGAGCAUUUCCUCUAGUGCACUUACAUAGCGCACCAGAUGCAACAAUGCAGGAUCCGUCUCGUGAUCUCCGUUGGUAACCUGGGGUGGCCUACCAUACCCGUCACGACUGGGGUAGUAGUAGACCGAGCGACAGUUAACUCUAGGCGACAAGUGCCGGAGUUGAACUAUAGCCUCUCGAGCAGCUAGCUGGAUGGCUUGUGGCUCAAAGGAAGUUGUCCUUCCGGUGAACCUGUAGGGGCGUUCUGGCGAUAGACCCCUACCAUAGACGUGCACAGUGGCCCAGAAUUGACGGCUCUCACCACUCAUGGGCCCUUGGUACACAACAUAUUCUGGGGUUCUUCUAAUGCAAAGGCAUGGCGGGUGAGGUUUGCUAGCACGGUCACAAAACCUCCAAGGUUGGUUGCCGUGGUCUCAUUGUGAACAAUGGGUCCUGGCAUUUUAGCUUGGUUUGGGGUAGCGGCUGUGCUGUGCUGGGUUGAGGCUAGCGUGCCCUUUUUAUAGAAAAAGGGGACAGAGUCUUCCUUCGCACGCUUGCGAAUAAGACAUUUUAGGUGUCGGUCACUGGCGUGUGAUCGACAGGCUAGGCCGAUAGGUUGGGCACCGACUGCCAAAAAGGUGUCGGGGUCACUGAGGGAGUCCUGGAUUAGGGGGUGUUCGGGUAGCCGGACUAUACCUUCAGCCGGACUCGUGGAAUAUGAAGAUACAAGAUUGAAGACUUCGUCCCGUGUCCGGAUGGGACUUUCCUUGGCGUGGAUGGCAAGCUUGGCGAUGCGGAUAUUCAAGAUCUCCUACCAUUGUAACCGACUCUAUGUAACCCUAACCCUAUCCGGUGUCUAUAUAAACCGGAGGGUUGUAGUCCGUAGGCAAUCAACUCCAUAUACAACAAUCAUACCAUAGGCUAGCUUCUAGGGUUUAGCCUCCUUGAUCUCGUGGUAGAUCUACUCUUGUACUACCCAUAUCAUGAAUAUUAAUCAAGCAGGACGUAGGGUUUUACCUCCAUCAAGAGGGCCCAAACCUGGGUAAAACAUCGUGUUCCCUGCCUCCUGUUACCAUCCGGCCUAGACGCACAGUUCGGGACCCACUACCCGAGAUCCGCCGGUUUUGACACCGACAUUGGUGCUUUCAUUAAGAGUUCCUCUGUGUCGUCGCCUUUAGGCCCGAUGGCUCCUUUGAUCAUCAACAACGAUGUGGUCCAGGGUGAGACUUUUCUCCCCGGAUAGAUCUUCGUUUUCGGGGGCUUCGCUCUGCAGGCCAAUUCGCUCGGCCACCUGGAGCAGAUCGAAAGCUACGCCCCUGGCCAUCAAGUCAGGUUUGGAAGCUUAAACUACACGGCUGACAUCCGCAGAGAUUUGAUCUUCGACGGGCUCGAGCCACGGCCAAGCGCGCCGCACUAUCUCAAGGGGCAUGAUCUAGCUCUGCCCCCGGACAGCGUCUUGGAGGCCGCACACGCAUCGGUUCCGACCCCUAACUCAGAGCCUAUUGCGCCAAUCGAGGAUGAGCGGUUGGACGUCACCUCGGGGGCUGCGAUCCCAAAAGCGAACUCCGAUCCGUGACUCUGAGGAUCCGGACUCCUUUCCGAACUCCGAACCCCCCGCGCCCCUGCCGAUCGAAUCUGAUUGGGUGCCGAUAAUGGAGUUCACCGCCGCAGACAUCUUUCAGCACUCGCCUUUUGACGAUGUCCUGAACUCUCUCAAGUCUCUCUCCUUAUCAGGAGAGCCCUGGCCGAACUACGGUCAGCGAGGAUGGGAUAUGGACGAUGAAGAAAUUUAAAGCCCACCCACCACCCACUUGGUAGCCACUGUCGACAAUUUAAACGACGUUCUCAACUUCGACUCUGAAGACAUCGACAACAUGGAUGACGAUGCAGGAGAUACCGACGAACCAACGCCCAUAGGGCAUUGGACAGCCACCUCAUCUCACGAUGUGUACAUGGUGGAUACCCCUAAAGGAAGCGACAACGAGGAAAAAGGGGAUGGGACGGGAGAUCGACCCCCCGAAAAGCAAUCAAAGCGUCGGCGUAAACGCCGACCCAAGCCCCGCCUCGACAAAAACCCAGCCAUAGAGCAGGACGAGCCGGUAGACGACGAGCAGGCCUUAGAGCAACCGUCCGAACAGGGCAACACGGAUAGAGAAGCCGAACAUCCCUCCUCCGGCGAAAACGGCAUUCCGGACGACCUCACGCCGGAUAAACCUAUGGAGCAGAAGAAUCUCCACGAGAGGCUCAUUGCAACUGCACGCAGCCUAAAAAAGCAGAAGCGGAAGCUAAAAACAGCGGAAGAUGCACUCCGGAUUAGAUGGAGCAAAGUAAUCAAUACCGCAGAUAAAUACGGCGACAGUCGCCGCACUAAAAGCUAUCCGAAAAGAAAGCUACUGCCUGAAUUCGAUGAAGAGGCCCUGGAGCCCUCGCAUUCAAAAAAUGAGCAAGCCACACGGUCGGAUAGACGACCCCGUAAAGCGGCAAGCGGCGCCGCACCUAAAUCGGCAUGCGACCCACUUAAGGAUUCGCAUCAUGGCCCAGUCAGGUCCAUUUAUGGGCCAAGAAAGCAAGCUCUCGUAAGCAACGCUAUGAAGCCAUCAUCAGAAUCCGGCACACCCAAAUACAGGGGCACCGCACACCCCCUAUGUUUCACCGAUGAGGUCCUGGACUAUGAAUUUCCAGAGGGAUUCAAUCCCGUAAACAUAGAGGCAUAUGAUGGUACAACAUACCCUGGAGUUUGGAUCGAGGAUUAUAUCCUCCACAUACACAUGGCUAGAGGAGAUGAUCUCCACGCCAUAAAAUAUUUACCCCUUAAGCUUAAAGGGCAGCCCGGCAUUGGCUUAAAAGCCUUCCCGAAAACACAAUUGGAAGCUGGGAAGAGCUCGAGGAUGCUUUCCGAGCAAACUUUCAAGGGACCUAUGUCCGCCCUCCGGAUGCAGAUGAUCUUAGUCACAUAACUCAGCAACCCGGAGAAUCAGCUCGACAAUUCUGGAAUGAGAGAAGUGCAUAUUUCAACCCUGAACUUUUGGACUAGUCUAAUUUACAACCCCGAACUCCAAUACCGUCUAAACUACAACCCCCAACUCUCAAAACCGGUCAGUAUUCAACCCUCCCCUCUUUGUUGACCGGUUUUGACCAGUCAACAGGUCCAGUCAGCAUGCCACAUCAACAAAAAAUGCAAAAUUUCCAAGGAAACAACCUGUAAAAUCGAAGAAAAUACAGGAAAAGAAAUAAGAAAUCCAAUUUCCGAAAAACACGGAAAAUAAAAAAACGAAUUUCCAAAAAAAAUCCAGAAAAAACCCAAAAGCUCAAAUUCCAGGAAAAAAAUAUUUCUAGAAAAAAAUCAUUUUUUAUUUUCCCUAACUUUUUUCGCGAACAAUUUUUUCGGAAUUUUGCUUUUUUAUAUUUUUUUCCUGAUCUUACAGAUUUUUAUUUUCUUUUUCUUGAAAUUUUGAAAAUAAAUCUCACGUGGCAUGCUGAUUGGACCCGUUGACUAGUCAAAACUAGUCACCCCAGGUCAAAACCGGUCAACAAAGAGGGGAGGGUUGAAUCCUGCCCGGUUUUGAGACUUGGGGGUUGUAAUUUAGACGGUAUUAAAGUUCGGGGUUGUAAAUUAAACUAGGGCAAGAGUUUAGGGUUGAAAUAUGCACUUCUCUCUUCUGGAAUAGAUUCCUCACUAAAAAGAAUCAGAUAGUCGACUGUCCGGAUGCCGAAGCCUUAGCAGGUUUCAGGCAUAACGUCCGAGAUGAAUGGCUCGCCAGACACCUCGGCCAAGAAAAGCCAAGAACAAUGGCCGCACUAACAAGCCUCAUGACCCGCUUUUGUGCAAGGGAGGACAUCUGGUUGGCAAGGUGCAGCCCCAGCGACCCAAGUACAUCCGAAAUUAGGGAUGGAAACGGAAAACCGCGACGCAACAAGGACCGUCGCUGGACUAAGGACAAAAGUCCGAAGAGCACGGCAGUCAAUGCCGGAUUCAAAGGCUCACGACAGAAUCAAGAAAAAUCGCCCCCCAGGAUAACAGGGACGAUCCAUCCAACUUAAAUAAAAUCCUGGACAGGAUAUGUCAGAUACAUAGUACUCCCGGGAAGCCUGCUAACCAUACCCACAGAGAUUGUUGGGUUUUCAAACAAUCCGGCAGACUCAAUGCUGAACACAAGGGGCUCGACACACCAAGCGAAGACGAGGACGAACCCCAAAAGCAGAGCACCAGGAAACAAAACAACUUCCCAUAAGAAGUAAAAACAGUGAACUCACUUCACAUAACAAAACGUGCGGUGCCCGUAAAGGUACGCACCACACGGCCCAUCCCCAAAGGGUCCUGCCACUGUUUGUCAAAACCGUUCAUCUUCGAUCAGCUAGAUUAUUCUAGAAAUAUCAAGAAUGCAGGCUGGACUGCCUUGAUACUCGAUCCAAUAAUUAGCGGACUCCAGUUUUCAAAUGUCCUUAUGGACGGCGGCAGUAGACUAAACCUGAUAUAUUAGGAUACAAUCCAUCACAUGGGGAUAAACCCAGCAAGAAUCCGCCGCAGCAAAACCUCCUUUCAAGGGGUAACACCUGGUCAGGACACCCAUUGUAUGGAUUUCCUCCGUCUUGAAGUCAUAUUCGGCUCUGCCGAUAACUUCCGCCACGAAAAGCUGACUUUCCAUAUCGUCCCGUUCUCAAGUCGCUAUCAAGCACUACUAGGACGUGAAGCUUUCGCUCGCUUUAACGCAAUACCGCAUUAUGCAUCUCUUAUGCUUAAGAUGCCCGGUCCACGAGGCAUCAUCUCUUUGAAGGGGAAGCACUAAAGUGCGCCUCCCCAAGCGGAGGACUGCGCGGCCGCUUUGACAGCCCCACAGCAAAAUGGCCUCACCGGCCAGAAAACUUCGAAAUAGGUCAUUCAAGACCACGAACGCGGAUAGACGAGUUCGGUGCAAAAUCAUCAUUGAUGCAGGCCUAGUGGCCAUAUACCCCCGCACUAGGGGCUCCGCGCAUAUACAAUAAGAGACAAUAAAGCUCAAUAUUAUAUACUCCCUCCGUUCCUCAAUAUAAGGUGUAUUAUUUUUUCAAGAAGUCAAACUUCUCUAAGUUUGACCAAGUUUAUAGACAAAAAUAUCAAUAUCUAGAAUACCAAAUCACUAUCACUAGAUUCAUCAUGAACUAUAUUUUUAUAUUUUAUAUAUUUAGUAUUAUAAAUCUUCAUAUAUUUUGCUGUAAACUUGGUCAAACAUAGAUAACAGUUGACUUUUUGAAAAACUAAUACACCUUAUAUUUAGGAACGGAGGGAGUAUUUUACUUUAUACUUUGUUUAUUUUAAACUUUUUCUGCACGACCCGUUCUCAACUCAGUUCCUCUCUUUUACAGAUGAACGUCGUGCGGCGCCCGUCCAGGAUACGGCACAACGGAGACACAGGCGCAGACGUGCAGUAGGGACCCGUUCUAAAGGAUUCUUUUUAGAUUAAGACCCUGCGUAAACCUUUUUUACUGUCUCUUGUUGCUAUACAUCCCCUGGUUUUUUCUGAUAUAACCAAGGAGGAGGCUGGCGUCUUGGCAUGUGGCCACGUCAGAAUUUUUGCACGUACCUGGACACUAGGGGCUUUUUUAAUAAAGAGUGUUGUUUCACCCGCACUCAUAAAGACCGAACACCUUAGGGAGUGUUCGGCGUCGUGAGUUUUGGCAUUAUAUGCAUCGGCUCCGAAUCAUGUCUUUGGUCAAAUGUUGGGUUGCCCGGCUCCUGAGUUCGGCUACCUUACAUUCCGCUCUAUCGGCUAAGGUAGCACCAGGAGAACUACUGCGAUUGUGCCCCGGUUCAGCCGGGCGAGCACCUCAGUAGAGAAAGCCGAAAACUGACUGUCAUGAUGUAGUGUGAGACUGGUCAGCCACUCGAUGACCUAUCGGAAUCUAUCGGAUUCCUCCGCUUUAACGAAGGGUCGCUUCCCGGUCAGGCACAUACGCGCCCCGAACUCGAGCGAGCGUAGUUGCCACCAAGGGGCUACCUAAAUAAUCUCACUAUCAAGCUCCUAUGGCUAAGUGAAAGUGUUAAAGCAUUAUAGUCCGGUUGCCUGGCCCGCUGCGCUAUCACCUCCUUUGUAGGACCAAGACGUUGGGUUAAGUGUGAAAAUGCGUCUUCUGCGAGCACCCCCGCACUAUGUGCGUGGGGGCUGAAGCCAACGAUUGACAUCUUUCAGAUUAUAUAUAUAUACCUUAAAACGGCCGCACAUGAGGUGUUCCCAAUACUUGAAGGAACAAGUAUAAAAAGGCCACUACAAUUUAUCAAAAUAUUACUUUAUAAUUACAUAUGCUAUCAUAACAUAGCAUCUUUCGAGCACUGCGUCUCUAUUACACGAGCGCCUUCAAGGACUUCCUGAAAAUAGUGCUCGGAGGUACUCGGCUUUUGUCCGAAUCUCGGGACGCAACAAUGGUGGUCUCCAUCUCUGCCCAGUAUGUCUUGACACGGGCAAGAGCCAUCCUUGCGCCCUCUAUGCAUGCUGACCUCUUCAUUGCAUUAAUACGCGACACCGCGUCAAGGAAUUGCUGCACCAAGCUGAAAUAACUCUUCAGCUCCGAUCUCCCCGGCCACAGAUGACCCAUGACGUACUUCAUGGCGAGUCCGGACAACCUAUUCAGUUCGGCCCAUUGAGCCAAAAAAUCAUCCAUUGCCAGCGGACGCUCUGGAUUGUGAAACUGUGACCAGAAAAGCUUUUCCACUUCGCGAUCUUUCUGAUCUCGAAAGUGUUCGGUCGCAUCAGCAGCACUCGCUGCCAAAUCCAGAUAGGUAUCCUCCACACUCCACAUCCGGUCCAACGGAGCAAACUUCGGAUCACAAAAUUUCCGUCGCAGCAUAAAGGGCUUUCCAGCCGCAAUCUGUUCGGCCUGACGCAGCUCCUCCUUCGCAGCUCUCAUCGUAGAGCGCGCGUCCUUGGCAUUGGCAACGGCCUUCUCUAAGUCCGUCUGUUUUGCCUGGUCUUCUUUCUCAAGAAGUCUGCAAUGAUCUGCAGCACUCUUUAACUUUUCGGCCAUCUCGGCCAUCUCUUCCUUGCUUCGGCAAUGAGCAGCCUGUUCGGCUCUCAGCUCUUCAAGGGCUUUCUUGGCAGCCGCAUCACUUUCUCUGGCUUGUUCUUUAGCUCGGGCAAGUUCUGCCCUAAGACUCUCCACGGCGGCCGCACCAUCUGCGUCAAGCACACACAUCGUAAGACACUGGCAUAAAACUCUUCUUACCUGAUGCCGCCCGAGGAAUUACAUACCUUGAGCCUCAUCAAGCCGCUUGUUGACAAGCGCGAUGUCGGCAUCUGCCACGUCUAGUUGCCUCUUUAGUUCGGCAACAUCAUCAGUUUGGCUCGAUUCCGGACACCCUGCCGCCUACAUUCAAAGGCGACAUCUUAGACCUGGGAUUAUGAUCCUCCGUGUGCCGUCAUUUCUUGACGACGCGCAGAGUCUCAGGGGCUACUAUCUACACAUGGCGCAUCUUAUUCAUGCGCAACUGACAAAAGUGUGCAUUAUCUAAUGUACCUCAAAACCCGUCAGUAAACUUUUGAUGGCCUCAUGCAAUCCGCUCUCUGCGGAUGAGAUCCUUUCAAUCACCGUGCCCAUCAAUGCACGGUGCUCCUCCAACAUAGACGCUCGCCCCAGCAAAAUCUUUAGCUCCUCCGGCCGAGCACCAGACGGUGCCGAAGUUGUCCCAUGACCUCUUUCGAAGGCCGGACGCGGAGAACCUCGGGGGGCCACAUAGCUAUCUUCCGCCCCUGCCGGAUUCGGAGAAACCCUCCGCGACGACACCUCAGGGUCGCCCGCCUCGCUAGGCGGCACGGCAGGGGGUGGCGUCCCGCUCUCCAUCAUCUCCGGAAGGAGAUCCCCCGAAGACGAGCUCUGCUGAGAAGUGCUGAGGUCCGAGCUAGAAGGUAAAAAUUCGGUUAAUGUUCUCAAAUCUAAAUCAAGGAUUUCUCUCAUCCCUCAAAAGGAAAAAUCUUUCUCUACUUACGGCUCGCUGGAGGGCUGAUCCCCUUGAGGGCGUAGUCCGGCCGAGGAACUCCCCGGCGUCGGACCCUCUGACGAGGAUUUCCCCCCCCCGCUUCGAGGCCAUGGUUUCUGGGUCGUCAGAGGCGGCUCCCUUCUUCCCCUUAGGAGAGGAAUUGUCGGUUCCUCCCUUCGGAGCAGCCUCCUUCGAGGAGGCCAUAGUUUCCUUGUCCUCCCCCUUGCUUCCCUCCAAAGGCAUUAUCUCCAGCAUCCUGACCAGCACGGGAUCCGGCCUGGUUUCGGGAAGGGGAGCCGGACACCUGAUCAGCUUUGCCUUCGCUAUCCACUCCUGUUUAAAAGGACGGCUCUUUUAGGGGUAAGUUUAUGACAAUUAUACGGAUAGAAGGUCUGGGCACAAGGUUGCUUACUUGAGCAUCCGGGCGAUUGCAGCUUAGGCCUGCGUCCUCGGUAAAAUCCGGACACAUCUCUCAUGAUCCGAAGAACAGUUUAUACAUCUCCACGGGCGUUGCUCCCAUGAAAUUCUGGAGAGCUCGCGGUCCCUCUGGAUUAAACUCCCACAGGCGAAGGGAGCGAUGUUUGCCGGGCAAUUUUCGGCGAAUCAGCAUGACCUACGUCACCUUGACCAGGCUGAGGUCUCCUUCCAAGAGAUCCUUAAUGCAGCCCUGUAACAAGGGCACGUCUUUGGGCAAACCCCAAUCUAACCCUCUGUUGACCCAUGACGCUAGCCCUGGUUGCGGACCCGAGCGAAAGGCAGGAGGCGCCACCCACUUGGUGCUCCGGGGAGCGGUGAUAUAAAACCACUCUCGUUGCCAGAAGCCUAGCUCCUCUUGAAAAGAGCCCUCGGGCCAUGGAGCAUCAGCAUUUUUGCUUAUAACAGCGCCUCCGCACUCUGCGUGCCGUCCCUUGAUCAUCUUCGGCUCCACUUUGAAAGUCUUGAGCCAUAAUCCGAAGUGAGGGGUAACACGGAGGAACGCUUCGCAUACAACGAUAAAUGAGGAGAUAUGGAGGAUGGACUCCGGAGCUAAGUCGUGAAAUUCCAGCCCGUAAUAAAACAGCAGUCCCCUCACAAAGGGAUCCAUCGGGAAGCCUAACCCCCGAAGGAAGUGAGACACGAACACUACGCUCUCACUGGGCUGGGGACUGGGGAUAGCCUGCCUUUGAGCAGGCAACCUGUGCGAAAUUUCGGCGGUCAAGAACUUAUCCUCUCUCAACUUUAGCACGUCCUCCUCCGUGACGGAGGAGGGCAUCCAUCAACCUUGAAGGUCGGAACCGGACAUUGUCGAAGGUCUGAGGCGCCUGAAAUCUGGAGCCUAGGGUGUUGGAACUCGAGGCGACGGGCGAACUCGUUUUGGGAUUGGAGAAAAAAGGCCCUGGUCUCUUUAUAAGAGGUUGAAUACCAGGAGCCCUCCCUGUAACCGUUUGGGACUCGCCUUUAAUCGAGAAAACAUGCUAACGGGCAUGAUUGGGUUACCCACGUCUGUAUGG
rnacentral:lncRNA from 1 species